GCGCUUUUGAGUGCCUGGCUUCCAACCAGGUAGUCGGGAGUUCGAAUCUCUCCGGGCGCGCCA
rnacentral:tRNA from 1 species